CACGUAGGUGGCGAGCGUUAUCCGGAUUUACUGGGCGUAAAGCGUGUGUAGACGGUGCUUCAAGUGGUGUGUGAAAUCUCGACGCUUAACGUAGAGAGGUCAUGCCAGACUGAAGCGCUAGGGAUGAGGAGAGGGAGAUGGAAUUCCGGGUGUAGUGGUGAAAUGCGUAGAGAUCCGGAGGAACUCCAGAGGCGAAGGCGGUCUCCUGGCCUCAAUCCGACGUUCAGACACGACAGCGUGGGGAGCAAACGGG
rnacentral:rRNA from 1 species